AUACCAGCACCCCGAGUUGUCGGGACGAUUAUUGGGCCUAAAGCAUCCGUAGCCUGUUCUGCAAGUCCUCCGUUAAAUCCACCUGCUCAACGGAUGGGCUGCGGAGGAUACCGCAGAGCUAGGAGGCGGGAGAGGCAAACGGUACUCAGUGGGUAGGGGUAAAAUCCAUUGAUCUACUGAAGACCACCAGUGGCGAAGGCGGUUUGCCAGAACGCGCUCGACGGUGAGGGAUGAAAGCUGGGGGAGCAAACCGGAUUAGAUACCCGGGUAGUCCCAGCUGUAAACGAUGCAGACUCGGUGAUGGGUUGGCUUCGAGCCAACCCAGUGCCGCAGGGAAGCCGUUAAGUCUGCCGCCUGGGGAGUACGGUCGCAAGACUGAAACUUAAAUGAAUUGGCGGGG
rnacentral:rRNA from 1 species